rnacentral:rRNA from 1 species
GCUCAACCGAGGAAGUGCUUCGAAAACUGGUAAACUUGAGUGCAGAAGAGGAAAGUGGAACUCCAUGUGUAGCGGUGGAAUGCGUAGAUAUAUGGAAGAACACCAGUGGCGAAGGCGGCUUUCUGGUCUGUAACUGACGCUGAGAUUCGAAAGCAUGGGUAGCAAACAGGAUUAGAUACCCUGGUAGUCCAUGCCGUAAACGAUGAGUGCUAAGUGUUGGAGGGUUUCCGCCCUUCAGUGCUGCAGCUAACGCAUUAAGCACUCCGCCUGGGGAGUACGAUCGCAAGAUUGAAACUCAAAGGAAUUGACGGGGGCCCGCACAAGCGGUGGAGCAUGUGGUUUAAUUCGAAGCAACGCGAAGAACCUUACCAGGUCUUGACAUACCAUGAAAAGCUAAGAGAUUAGUCUUUCCCUCCGGGGACAUGGAUACAGGUGGUGCAUGGUUGUCGUCAGCUCGUGUCGUGAGAUGUUGGGUUAAGUCCCGCAACGAGCGCAACCCUUAUUAUCAGUUGCCAGCAUUCAGUUGGGCACUCUGGUGAGACUGCCGGUGACAAACCGGAGGAAGGUGGGGACGACGUCAAAUCAUCAUGCCCCUUAUGACAUGGGCUACACACGUGCUACAAUGGUCGGUACAACG